CUGCUGGGAUAAAAUUUACUUCACUAAUCAAAUUAACAUUGAAUUUUCUCUGCAAAUAAUUUCUAAUACACAUAGUAUUAUAAGUGCAGAAUUAAUGACACACACAUAUGCAGUAUAUAUCUUUUUCAUACUGAAAUACCAAACAUGCAAAGAACAAUUUAUUCAUUUCCUUUAUUCGAAUGGCUUUCAAGUGAGCAAGAAUGACACGUUUCUUCUCAGUUUUGAUAAUUUAAUGAAUCUUACUCACGAGAACGCCUGUUAUGAAACCUACUUGGCCUGCAAUGUUUCAGACCGAUACGCGGAGGCUUUUGUUAUUCUGCCAUCUUUAACAAUUAGUUACAUAACGUCAACACUAGCAAUGGUAGUGAUAUUUGUAAACGGCUUUGUUUUAUUAAUAUUUCUACAAAAGGAGAACCGAACACCAGUUACCAUUUUAUUGUCAGCUUUGGCUAUAUCUGAUAGUAUGACAGCAUUGCUGAUGACCGUUCCAACAUUAAUAGCCUAUCACAAAUAUGGUCAUCACGUUUACAAU
rnacentral:lncRNA from 1 species